AAGUCGUAACAAGGUUUCCGUAGGUGAACCUGCGGAAGGAUCAUUACAUUCAGUAGCCUAGCUACUUGUUUAUACCCUUGUUUUUUGCGUACCUAUUGUUUCCUCGGCGGGCUUGCUCGCCGGUUGGACAAACUUAUAACCUUUUUAAAUCUUCAAUCAGCGUCUGAAUUAUUUAUAAUAAUUACAACUUUCAACAACGGAUCUCUUGGUUCUG
rnacentral:misc_RNA from 1 species